CACGUAGGCAGCGAGCGUUGUUCGGAGUUACUGGGCGUAAAGAGUGCGUAGGCGGUUUUCUAAGUUUGGUGUGAAAUCUCCCGGCUCAACUGGGAGGGUGCGCCGAAGACUGGAAGGCUUGAGUAUGGGAGAGGUAAGCGGAAUUCCUGGUGUAGCGGUGAAAUGCGUAGAUAUCAGGAGGAACACCUGCGGUGUAGACGGCUUACUGGACCAUAACUGACGCUGAGGCACGAAAGCGUGGGUAGCAAACAGG
rnacentral:rRNA from 1 species